rnacentral:rRNA from 1 species
GACGAACGCUGGCGGCGUGCCUAAUACAUGCAAGUAGAACGCUGAAGCUUGGUGCUUGCACCGAGCGGAUGAGUUGCGAACGGGUGAGUAACGCGUAGGUAACCUGCCUGGUAGCGGGGGAUAACUAUUGGAAACGAUAGCUAAUACCGCAUAACAGUAGAUAUCGCAUGAUAGCUACUUGAAAGGUGCAAAUGCACCACUACCAGAUGGACCUGCGUUGUAUUAGCUAGUUGGUGAGGUAACGGCUCACCAAGGCAACGAUACAUAGCCGACCUGAGAGGGUGAGCGGCCACACUGGGACUGAGACACGGCCCAGAAUCCUACGGGAGGCAGCAGUAGGGAAUCUUCGGCAAUGGACGGAAGUCUGACCGAGCAACGCCGCGUGAGUGAAGAAGGGUGUCGGAUCGUAAAGAUCUGUUGUAAGAGAAGAACGAGUGUGAGAGUGGAAAGUUCACACUGUGACGGUAUCUUACCAGAAAGGGACGGCUAACUACGUG